UCCCAGUAAAUCAAACACAUCCACCACUGUGAUGAGUAACAAAUUUGGUGCUCUUGCACAUGAAGAAGAAUACAUAUAUGAUAUCAGCAAGGGAAACGAUAAGUCACAACAAGAUACUACAUAAUUACAAAAGGAUAAUUAGCUAAAAAAAAUGGGUAACUAAGUCUUUUGGACCUGUGUUACAUGGAGGAAAUCACAAAGGCAAAGAGCAAACAGGGGACAACAUAACACAACAAAAUAUGAACAAAAAUGAAGCAAGUCUAAGGGAUAAUGGACAAGAACCUCAACCCAAUUCAACAUUGACAUAUGCACAUGUAGAAGAUAGAAAAAUGAGUGUAGAACAUAAGGGGGUGUACAACAAUAAGGAAGAGAUCAACAUUCCGUCCAGUCAAGAAGAGGAAAUACUCGGAGAUGAGUUAUUGAAUGAUGAUUCCAACAGUCCUGCAACACAAACUAAAAAUCAAUUAUGUCCAUAUGAGAGUGUCAAGAUGACGGAUAAUGGGAUUCACAUUAAUGAUCAUAAGUCAAAUAAUGAUUUAGAUAUUGUGCCUUUCCCUACUCCUAUUCAGACAGAAGACAUUACAAUGGCAAUACCUCAAUCUCCUAAUGAGGUUCUUCAUAAUAUUCUCACCUAUAAAGAAUCAGAAAUCGGACACCUCCAAUUAUGUGACACAAAUGUUCAAGUAGAGGACCUUUCACCUAGAAGUAUUAAAUCAAUAAAGUUUGCAAAGAAGAAUAAAAAACAAGGUAAUGAAGAAUCUAUUCAACCCAUCAGAUCUCAGCCGAAGAGGCAGGUGACACAUAAAAAAUAAUGUUAUCAAUGAAGGCCCUUAUAUGGAAUAUUAGGUAAAAUGCAUUCCAAAGAGUCUUGAUGUUACAUAAUUUUCACAAGUUCAGUUUUGUUGCUCUGAUGGAACUGUUUCAGCAUGUGGGAGGCUUGAACAGAUAUAAUAGAAGAUUGAAAGUGGCAAAGGGGUAUUCCAAUAGUAGUGGUAAAAUUUGGUUAUUUGUGAAUCAUGGAUUUGAUGUAACAGAAGUGAGAAAUUUUGAGCAACAACUUUCUGUAUUGCUUAGAAAUCAAAAUUCUAAAUCAACAUGUGUUACUAUUAUUUAUGAAAAAUGUGACCUCUAUCAGAGAAUGCAACUAUGGGAAGAUAUUUCCCAAGUAGCUGAUGGUCUGCAAUAUUCAUGGAUAAUAGGAGGGGACUUCAAUGUGUUUCUUAAUGAGGAAGAAAAAAUUGGUGGUCGACCAGUGACAGGGAAUGAGGUUGAAGAUUUUUAAAAUUGUAUUGAAUCUAAUGAGCUAUAUCUUGUUCAAUUUAAAGGCACUCCAUUUACUUGGUGGAAUGGUAGGGCUCGAUGUGAUUGCAUCUUUGAGAGAUUAGAUAGAAUUUUUGUUAAUAAUAUGUUGCAAGACCAAUCCAAUUUCUCAGAAGUGGAACAUCUUUCUAGAACUAGAUCGGAUCAUGCUCCUCUUUUAUUCUCAUGUGAAAAUAGAUAUUCCAGAUUCAUCAAACCUUUUAGGUUCCUGAAUUUUUGGACUAAGCAUAGGGGUUUCAAGGAUGUGAUUAAAUAGAUUUGGGAUGAUGAGUAUUCAACCAACUAUUUUCUGGAUUUCAAGAGGAAGAUUAAGAAAGUAAAGGCUGCUCUUUCUUUAUGGAAUAAGGAAACUUUUGGAGACAUAUUCAAACAACUCAUCAUCAGAGAGGAAAUAGCAAGAAUCAAGGAAAAGCACUUUGAGGAAUUUCCCUAUGCUGAAAAUAUAGUUAUUAUGCAAAGGGCAAAGGAUGAAUAUACUAGAUAUUUGCAUCUAAAGAAGAAAUUUUGGCAACAAAAGGCAGGGUAUGAUUGGUUUGACAGGGGUGAUAAAAACAUAAGAUUCUUUCAUAGCUUGGUGAAAAGGAGAAGACAAAGAAUGAAGGUAACAAGAACUCAAAAUGCACAAGGACAAUGGUUGGAAGAUGAAAAUACAAUGGCUCAGGAGGCAAUAACACACUUUCAAAACCAAUUUCAUCAGGACAGAGAUGCCACUAAUAUCACCUUGCUGGACCACAUACCAUAAUUAAUCUCUGAGGAUGAAAACACUGAGUUGGGGAUUGUUCCAAAUGAAGAAGAAGUGAAAAAUGUUGUUUUUAAUCUUAAUGAGGACAAUUCUAGUGGUACAUAUGGACUUACAUGUAGAUUCUACCAAGUUUGUUGGGACAAUGAUAUUUGUAGAAUGGUGUGUGAGUUUUAUGUGGGCAGCUCCUUACCUAGGUUCAUUACUCAUACUAAUUUGAUUCUCAUUCCCAAAAAGGAUAUCAUUCAGUCCUUUUCAGAUAUGAGACCUAUUAGUCUAACAAAAAGGAUAUCAUUCAGUCCUUUUCAGAUAUGAGACCUAUUAGUCUAACAAAAAGGAUAUCAUUCAGUCCUUUUCAGAUAUGAGACCUAUUAGUCUAACAAAAAGGAUAUCAUUCAGUCCUUUUCAGAUAUGAGACCUAUUAGUCUAACAAAAAGGAUAUCAUUCAGUCCUUUUCAGAUAUGAGACCUAUUAGUCUAACAAAAAGGAUAUCAUUCAGUCCUUUUCAGAUAUGAGACCUAUUAGUCUAACAAAAAGGAUAUCAUUCAGUCCUUUUCAGAUAUGAGACCUAUUAGUCUAACAAAAAGGAUAUCAUUCAGUCCUUUUCAGAUAUGAGACCUAUUAGUCUAACAAAAAGGAUAUCAUUCAGUCCUUUUCAGAUAUGAGACCUAUUAGUCUAACAAAAAGGAUAUCAUUCAGUCCUUUUCAGAUAUGAGACCUAUUAGUCUAACAAAAAGGAUAUCAUUCAGUCCUUUUCAGAUAUGAGACCUAUUAGUCUAACAAAAAGGAUAUCAUUCAGUCCUUUUCAGAUAUGAGACCUAUUAGUCUAACAAAAAGGAUAUCAUUCAGUCCUUUUCAGAUAUGAGACCUAUUAGUCUAACAAAAAGGAUAUCAUUCAGUCCUUUUCAGAUAUGAGACCUAUUAGUCUAACAAAAAGGAUAUCAUUCAGUCCUUUUCAGAUAUGAGACCUAUUAGUCUAACAAAAAGGAUAUCAUUCAGUCCUUUUCAGAUAUGAGACCUAUUAGUCUAACAAAAAGGAUAUCAUUCAGUCCUUUUCAGAUAUGAGACCUAUUAGUCUAACAAAAAGGAUAUCAUUCAGUCCUUUUCAGAUAUGAGACCUAUUAGUCUAAGUAAUUUCAUUAACAAGAUCCUGUCCAGAAUUACGCAUGAUAGAUUGGAAAAGAUUCUCCCAAAACUGAUUUCUACUAACCAAUCUGGAUUUGUUAAGGGCAAAAGUAUCAUUAAGAAUGUUCUAUUGGCUCAGGAUCUUGCCACCGAUAUUACUAAGAAGGGAAAGCCUGAGAAUGUGAUUAGAAAGCUGGCUAAGGCCUAUGAUAGGGUUUCUUGGUCCUUUCUUAUGAAAGUACUAAGGAAAAUGGGAUUUUGUAAUAGAGUGGUAGAUUUGAUUUGGAGAUUACUAGCAAAUAAUUACUACUUUGUGCUUCUUAAUGGUCAAUCAUAUAGGUUUUUUCAUUCAACUAGAGGAGUUAAACAAAGGGAUCCUUUAUCUCCAACAUUAUUCAUCUUUUCAGGAGAGGUCCUACAUUAUUCAUCAUUUUAGCAGAGGUCCUUUCUAAAGCUCUCAAUACUCUAUUUGAAGACCCCCAUUUUGUUUGUUAUGGAAUGCCUAAAUGGAGUGCUAAUCUCAAUCAUCUAGCUUUUGUUGAUGAUACCAUUAUUUUUACCUCUUCAAACAUAUAUUCUAUGGAAAAAUUAUGUCUAUUUUGAAGGAUUAUGAGAAGCAAUCAGGUCAAAAGAUCAAUAAGGAAAAUAUUUCUUAUUAUGUACACCAAAAUAUAUCAGCAACCUCUGCUAAUCAAGUGGAACAGAUUACAAGGAAGGUAAGAGGACAAUUCCCUAUGAUAUAUCUAGGAUACCCUAUUACACAUUCUAGAAAAAGAAAGGAGCACUAUGCAGAAUUAUUUAAUAAGAUUAAAGGUAGAUUGCAAAGUUGGAAAGGGAGAAUGCUUUCAUAUGGGGUUAAGGAAGUCCUUCUUACUAGCAUUCUUCAAAGAAUCCCUAUCUAUGUUCUUUCUUCUAUUACCCCCCCCCCCCCCCCCCCCCCCAAACUCCUCCCACACAAAUGUUAGUGUAUCGGUGUGGUACCCAUUCAAAUUGUUAGUGUAUUGAUAUGAUUCAUAGAAUAUUUGCUAAAUUCUAUUGGAGUAAUAAGGAAGAUAGCAGAAAUAAACACUGGUCUAAAUGGGUGAAUAUGUGUCUUUCUAAACAUGAGGGGGAUUUAGGAUUUAGGUCGAUGUUUGAUGUAUGAAAGGCUAUGUAUGCAAAGUUAUGGUGGAAUUUAAGAACUCAAGGUACUUUGUGGUCCAAUUCUAUGUGGACAAAGUAUUGUAAGAAACAAAUUUAUACCUUUGUUCAAUGGAAAGAAGGUUCCCAAAUCUGGAAACAUAUACUUGAGAAUAGGGAAAUGCUAGAGCAACAUAUGUGGUGGGAACCUAGAGGAGGUACUUCUACUGUUUGGUAUGAUAAUUGGUCUAACGUGGGACCCUUGUACCUACAUGCAGUUGAGGAGCAAACUUGUCACCCCAUGAAAAACGUUGAUGAAUUUCUAACUGAGGAUGGGUGGGACUAUACAACAAUGAGAGAUUUUGUCCCUGAGUAUGUUGUAGACAGAAAGUUAAAGCUAAGAUUUGUACAUGCUGUGAUUUAUAAACAUCUACAAGUACCAGUCAAAACAGAGUCAUAUUCAUUGGCAACCUCGACAAAAUAAAGUUAGUAAUCCUUUUUAUAGAUCUAAACCCAAGUGGUGGUAUCAAUUUCAUUUGUGGGAUUCAACUCACCGAGAUUAAAUCUAAGAAGAUGAGAAACUAUGCUUACCUCAGGUUUAGUAUGCAACAAGCAUUAUUGUGGUGGUCAAUUUGAGAUCAAAGCAAGUGUCAUUAAGCGGAUUACUCCGUGGGAAUCGCCUCUGUGUGGUUGUGAGCAAGAGAUAAUCGACUAUGUACGGAUGUGAUCAAGUGUUAAUCGAGAUCGACUGGUUACACCAUGGAUAGUCUUCUUCUAGCUACUAGAAAGAGCUUCCGUGCUCUUCAUUUUCCACGUUUCCUGUUCCUCUUUCCCUUUCCAUUUUCUUUCUUAUUUUGUUUGUUUCCCUUUCUGCAUUUUCUGAACAACUGUUAGGG
rnacentral:lncRNA from 1 species